rnacentral:lncRNA from 1 species
AGCCAUUCCCUUCCCUCACCACUGAAUAGCUAUUCAUUCCCGUGCGUGAAGUAAAUUUUUUUUCCACCUUUUCAAUUUUUGCCCACACCUCUACCCAAAGAAUGAAGAAGCACUGGAACCAUCAUCUUCUCCUCGAUUCACGGGUAACUUUCUUUUUUUCUCAUCUCUAUGUUUCCCUUUUUCCCUUUGAUUGUAGAAAAGACUUAGGUCAAUCUAUUCUUCGUUCUUUCUUCUUUUUCUUCACCUUUUAAGCCAAUGAAAACCCUUUGAUUGCAGAGUUGCAACCUUUUUUUUUCCUCACUUCUUUUGUUCUUCUAAUUAUAUUUAGUAAUAAUUAUAUUAAAAUAUGAUUAAAUUAUUUAUUAUUUUAAUAAUAAUCUUAGUAAAAUUUAAUAACAAUAAUUAUGUACUCUGGUUAUUUCAGUUUUUUUUCUUAUACUAUUACAGUAUCAUUUCAUUCAACUAAACUCAAGAAUUCUAUUACAAUUCUAUUACAUUCUAUUCAACCAAACAAUUGAAUUACUGAUUACAGCUCUAUUCCAUUACAACUUUAUUCCAUUACAACGAACCAAACAUGUCCUAACUGUUCGAAACUCUAGUUAGAGAUCCCGAACUCCAAGAUCUAAAAAAAGAGGCUUCAAGCUCUCCAAGGCUAUUCAUGGUUGCUGGACGCUUGGUCUUUGAGCGGUCGGACAUCACCCCUACUUGUCGCUUUUGCCAUUCCAUCAGUUUUCCGUUGGCCAUUUUUUCAGCGUGAUGAGGAACAAUUGUAGAAUAAUAAGUUUUGGACUUAAAAUAGUCCUCUACCUUUCUCAGUAGAGGCUAUUAUGGCGUCGACUUUCGCUAGCCUUUCUUCGGAAUUAUGCCUUUCACCCGAGGAUAAAGUCAUGCCAUUUUGUUGUGUCGAUGAUGGUCUUGUUUUGUACUAGUCAAAGCUUUGGCUCUCGUCUAAUUGUACCAAGCUUGUUAAAAGCUUUGGCUUGUUCGAAGUUAUCGCUUUUGUUCACUUGUAUCAAGCUUGACACUUGUUGCUUGUAAAUUUAUUUCAUAUAUGAAAGUUUCUCAUUGAACAAAA